GUGGGUUAUUAUUAAACCCAUUAUAAGGUGUUGAGGAAGUAUUGCAGACUGCAUCGAUCCAUUGAUCAAUCUUCAGAAGCUGUCGCUCGAGCGUAGGGUCUCGGAUGGUACAAGCCCCGGAGUGUUGAGGGGAUCGCUGAUCAGGGGUUGAAUCAUGCCCUGAUCGGGGGCUUAAAGAUCGCCGCCUUCCUGGUUUUGAAGUUCUAGGGUGGCUUUGGCUAGUUUGUCUCCUCUCCAAACUUUGCGGAGGAGCCUACGAUUGUUUCGAUGGUGGCAGCAUCGAAGCCGGAUUCGAUGAUGGUGCCAUCAAGAGAGGUGCAGGGACAACCUGAUCAAGCUAUGGUGCUGCCUGUGGAGGUAUAGGAGCAACCCUAAUUGCCUGAUCAGUGGCCAUCAAAUUCUAGACCUACC
rnacentral:lncRNA from 1 species